AAUUAUUUAAAGGGACGAAAAGACCCUAUUGAGCUUUUAGUAUGUAGUGAUAUAUAUAGUUAUAUGUUUAUUAAAAAUUAAUUAGGAUUGGGA